ACCCAGCUGACGAGUUCUAAAUGAGACGAAACGCGUGUAUUGGAU
rfam:Schistosoma haematobium scaffold40_31, whole genome shotgun sequence.